AUACGUAGGGGACGAGCGUUGUCCGGAAUUACUGGGCGUAAAGGGCGCGCAGGCGGAUAUUUAAGUCAGCUGUAAAAGGCAUGAGCUCAACUCAUGGAUGCGGUUGAAACUGGGUAGCUAGAGUGCUGGAGAGGUAGGCGGAAUUCCCGGUGUAGCAGGGGAAUGCGUAGAUAUCGGGAAGAACACCAGUGGCGAAGGCGGCUUACUGGCCAGCAACUGACGCUGAGGCGCGAAAGCCAGGGGAGCGAACGGGAUUAGAUACCCCGGUAGUCCUGGCCGUAAACGAUGAAUGCUAGGUGUGGGUGUCGAGAGGCAUCCGUGCCGGAGUUAAAGCGAUAAGCAUUCCGCCUGGGGAGUACGAUCGCAAGAUUGAAACUCAAAGGAAUUGACGGG
rnacentral:rRNA from 1 species